CGAGGGAGUUACACAGUGCUCUGGGUCAGCCAAUAUUUGCAAAGUCUCUUUGUUCCUCACUAUCAUCUACUGUCUCUCUGGAUCGAGGGGUGCCUUCAAAUGGGGCUGGCCUAAGCAAAUGGAAUCUGCUUCGAAGCCAGCAUCUGCCUUGAAUUUCUUAUCACGCCAUCGCCAUAAAAUGUUAUAGCAGCUGAGGAGUCAUUUUAAUUCCAUAUUCUGUUCCAGGUCAAGGUAGGCGGGCUUUGACUUUAUUAGCAUGUCUGUUUAGAAGAACUCCAGAAACAGACUAUUUACUGGAGCAUUAAUGAUUGCAGCUAAUGAAUAGCGAGCAACAAAUGUUAAGAGAAUUGUGUAGAUCAACACAUCCGAGGAAUCUUUCUGAAACUGUUAUUAUAAACACAAAAGUAAAUUGUAGUUGUGGACAAUUAAACUUACAUCCUAAAGUGUGAAAAGAGGACAUUUAAUUGGAUGUUGCAUCUUUGAGUGAUUUUAGAGCAGUUUUUAAAUUGCAAGCUCUGUGGAUACAUUUGUGUCCCUGAUUUGAGCUAACCACUCUUGGUAUGCUGAAUGGAUUUUAAACUCGGUGAUGAACAGCGACUGACUCAUGAGAGCAUCUAGUCUCCUCUGACCUGAGGAUAAAGGGCUUGAGAAACUUGAAUUCAUGGUUUUUCAUGAUCCAUGGGAGCCAAGAGUAGUGCCUGGGCAAUUUUAUCAUCUCUGAAAGCAAAAAUCCAUCCACAGAAGCUAUUCUCUAAGAAUAAUUUAGAGACUUUUGCUAGGUCCAUUUAUUCUUUUGGGUUAUUAAGAAAUCAAUUGGAAAGACAGAACAAAUGAGGAAAAACUAGCAGGGCCUUUCUGAAGUAAGACGCACACCUCACGGAAAUCCACAGACUGAGAAGGUGGUUGGAGGGUUCAGCAAGGACUUCCUGUUGCAUUGACAGUGCUCUCCAGGGAUCAGCCUUUCCUACACAAACACAAGGCGGAGAGGGAGGCCUUUGGCGCUGAAAGCCUGAAUAUAGUACACAUCUGUGGGUUCAGACCAGAGGAGAUGAUCCAAGGCCUGCAUCUGAACACUGAGACUUAUGGGGAGAGAUCUGAGGCCCUCAGUUCUCAGCAAAACAUUUAUGAGAAAACUAAGAGCAAUAUAAGACCUGCCGCUAUAAUUGCAUAAAUCAUUUCGGGUUUUUUUGUUUGUUUGUUUGUUUGUUUGUUUCUGGUGUUUUAGUGUCUCCACUGUAAUCUAUUAAAAGAGAUUAGUUGAAAUUUA